UAGUACCACUGGGAAUAACACGGUACCUUUGCUGGCUGUCUCACUGCUGAGGCCAGGUGCUGGACACUUCCCAUGCAGCCUUCCCAGGGAGAAGAGCAGGCACUUCAGCACAUGCAUGAAGGUCUACAACAGGAAGAUACUUUUUUAUAUGCCUAUGUAGGAAUAUCAAUGGGAGCUCAUUUAUUUUGUUCAAAGUUGGUGCCAAAGAAAACCCCUCUGAGAUACCUGGACUCCAAAGCACUUUGAAGCACAUUGCAAAAUCUAAGGCAAAAAGAUGGGGACGUUGAACAACUUGCUGAUAGAAGAAAAGGUGAAGGACAGAAGCACUGGAGGAAAUCACAGUCUCCUGCUGCCAGCUUUCUGGAUGACUGGUGGUGUGUAAUUUUUGUCAUGUAUUCUCCUUAAUAAGGAAAUAAGGAAAGGCCCAUGCUGAGAUAUCUGAAUAUAUAUCUUUUGAUAGAGCUAGUCCUAAAGUUGUUUCAACUUUUCUCCUCAUCUAGCAGUUGCUGAGGCACAAACAUGUAAUCACGGGAAAUGCUAUAAUUAACCAUAAAUCUCUGCUUCAAAUCAAAAGGGCACUGAGCUUUCAUUUCAGACUGACAGACUGGAACAAGAGCACAACUAUUAGAGAAUCUACCUUUGAAUCAAUUUCUGUCAGUGUGCUGGCUUUGCUUUUUUGGUCUAACCCACAAAUUUGUACCUGUAUGGUUAACCAAAAACUGUACAUUAUUUACCAACAUCAGCAUUAAACCUGAAAGGUCUGGCAAUGCUCCAUCUUGGAACUGAAGAGCCAAUACUGUACACUUACUUUAAGAAACAUGCCUAAGAAUAUUGCUCCUUGUAUAACUCUACAUAUAGGAAGUUGAGAUUAGAGUUUUCCUAAAGCUUUUUUGACUUUUUUAUCCAUUAAAUUGUUCUGGGUUUGUGAGAAAUUGAGUAUUCUCCAACACAAGGCCUAAUUUUGUGAAGCAUUUCACACUUCUGGUCCCACUGAGGUUUCUACUGAGGUUACUUUAAAGCCCUCCUUCACCAUAGUAUAUGAACAACUAAAUAUUUUGAAGAAAAGAUAACAAGAAAAAUAUCACUUCCUUCCUUCACGUUUUAACACAGACUACAGGAGAAAUGCUGAUUGUAGCAGAACUCUGGUUUUCCUACAAUUAAAGUGGGACAGCCCUAAAACUUUGGCUGAAAUUGGGCUGAUUUUCAAGUGUCUAAACCCCCCCAGACUUACUUAGCUUACACUGCAAUUUGCUGGCAUCAUGGACAAGUUCGAAACGAUCUGAGCAGGGUGCUCCCAAAAUCCUGUCUUUGCUCCAAACCAAUUCCUCUCUUGUCCUGUCCUGUCCUACAAGGAGUAGGUCUGAUUUUUGUUGGGAUUAUUGUGAGUGUUCCUGGGGUUCAAAUCAUGGUUCCUUACCUAACUUAAUUGAUUCCAGUUGUUGGAGAAGUGACAAUAAAUCUAUUAUGGGAGGUACUUCA
rnacentral:lncRNA from 14 species